GGCUCGCGGGGGUGAGGCGUUUAGGUGCGUGGCCUCCCCACUCUCGUUGGGUGAGGUAACACAGACCUUGGAGCCAGAUUUGCUGGGUUUGUACCCCAGCCCCAACAGUUAAGCGCUCUAUGGCUUUGCAACUCAGGUAGCAUGAAUCUCAUCAGCACAGAGAGAAAGCUUCGCUGAAAACUCAUUGCAGGUCGCACCCCCUCAACUCAGAUGGCAACAGUGCAGUCAGAGGCCUGCCCUUCUGAGGAGGAACACAGAGGCUCUACAGGGUGGAGAAACCCCAAGAUGGAAGGCGCCUGGGUACCAAAUGACUGCAUGCCGACCUGCA